GUGUCAGCAGCCGCGGUAAUACGUAGGGUGCAAGCGUUGUCCGGAAUUAUUGGGCGUAAAGAGCUCGUAGGCGGUUUGUCACGUCGGAUGUGAAAACCCGAGGCUUAACCUCGGGCCUGCAUUCGAUACGGGCUGACUAGAGUUCGGUAGGGGAGACUGGAAUUCCUGGUGUAGCGGUGAAAUGCGCAGAUAUCAGGAGGAACACCGGUGGCGAAGGCGGGUCUCUGGGCCGAUACUGACGCUGAGGAGCGAAAGCGUGGGGAGCGAACAGGAUUAGAUACCCUCGUAGUCC
rnacentral:rRNA from 1 species